rnacentral:rRNA from 1 species
AUUGAACGCUGGCGGCAUGCCUUACACAUGCAAGUCGAACGGCAGCACGGGAGCAAUCCUGGUGGCGAGUGGCGAACGGGUGAGUAAUAUAUCGGAACGUGCCCAGUCGUGGGGAUAACGUAGCGAAAGCUACGCUAAUACCGCAUACGAUCUAUGGAUGAAAGCGGGGGAUCGCAAGACCUCGCGCGAUUGGAGCGGCCGAUAUCAGAUUAGGUAGUUGGUGAGGUAAAGGCUCACCAAGCCGACGAUCUGUAGCUGGUCUGAGAGGACGACCAGCCACACUGGGACUGAGACACGGCCAGACUCCUACGGGAGGCAGCAGUGGGAAUUUUGGACAAUGGGCGCAAGCCCUGAUCCAGCCAUGCCGCGUGUGUGAAGAAGGCC